CCUGAAUCAAAGGUAAAUGUCUGUUUACUUCUGUUUCAAUUUAAUCUGUGUAGCCUAGACUAAUGUGCAAAGACUGAAUCAAUUCAGCUUCAGGCUUUUUGAUUGUCUGUACCUAGCCUCGGAGUUCCACUGGUGAUUUCAGUGGAGGUCAAGGUUUCACCCCUUUCCACGUGAGUGGAGUCAUUAUUUUCUCUGGUUAGUCAGUUACUUUGUCACUUUCCAUGGUUUGUGUGGCUCUCUCAUAGUGACAGACAAGAGAAAAUAUUUUUAAAAACUCGUUUAAACAAACGUGAAGAAAUGGUAAUAUUUUGAAAGGGGAUCUCCUAAAAUAGCCUGAACCUAUUUUUAAUUUACUGUUUUACAACUGAAGGGUCUGUUUGAAUGAAUUGCACAAGGCCACAUGUGAUUCAGUUGAGGUGAGUUAGUCAUCUGUUGUGGCCACUACACAAUGCUUCUACCUGUUCCUUCUGAACAACUGGUAGCUUUAUUUCUCCAUUUGGUAAAUAAAAAUAAUAUUCGUCAUAGAAUUCUUUGUCUAUAUAUAUUAGACAUUGUCUAUAUACAUUAUAGACAUUUUGAGAUACCCACACUCCCUUUCAAACACCCCUACAUGAACACAAGUUAUACACUAUAUAAAAGGCUUUUUUCUUAUUGAUACAAGAUAAUGCUGUAAUUGUAGGGGAAGCAGGCUUUGAUUCCUAAGGUAGGAGAUGUUUGAUAAGGAUUUAACUUCAGGAUACAGACCUACUACUGUCACAAUUUGUUAUAUGCUUCCACUAACUUGGGUUUAUUUUGAGAAGGAAAAUACUUCUUAACAGAUUUUUUAAGUGAUACUUGACAUAAAUUCUAUAUUCUUAUCGAAUAACCAAAGAUGGGGUAUUUGUGUUGGGACUCCAAUGUUUUUUCAUUAUUGUCUGGGCUGCAGGCUAUUUUACAGUGUUCUUUUGUUUGUGAAAUGCACUGUUAAUAUUAGGCUACUCCCUAUCUCCUCCAAAAAUGUACAUGUAAUAUUUGGCCAGAUCCAGCAGAAAAAAGGGGCAUUAUGACUCCAGUUUUCAAAAAUGUGUAAGUAUCAGUGUAUAGAUUAGACUUAUAAAAAGCAUAUAUAUAUAUAUAUAUAUAUAUUCUUUUAAAAAUCUGAGUUGCUAAACCCAAAAUAUUGUUUGCUUAUAAUUAGCUUUAUUCCUCUGCCCUAAAGUGAUAUUUAUUUUGCUGUUGUUGAAAAUUACAAAAAUAUUAAUUAAAAAUGUGGUCAAGGUCAAGUGCUGGGCUGAUGUGGCUGUAGAGAGAAUAGGUCAGAGAACAGAAAGAAAUGUAGUUAAGGACUUAGGAUAAGUCUGUAAAGGUCUUGUAAAAUAUAAUAACCCUCUUGUAACUGCUGAGGACUUGUAUGAAGACAAUGAUGUGUUCCAGUUUACAUGGAUGAAUGAGCAGACAAGCUACAACAUUUUGGAUAGAUUCAAAUUUGGAGAACAGUAUAGAAAACAGAAUAAAUUGUACAGGGGGAAAAGAUGGGAAGAAUUCUGAAUGAGCUUUUGCAUCUAUGUGAGACUGGCCAGAAAUGCAAUAGGAAAUAGGCUUUUGCUCUACAGAAUGGUUAAGCAAAGGGCACUGUUGGCCUUUCCACAAAGUCCAGAAUACAGAAGUUUUUGGAGACCCUUCUCUUAGGCCACUUACUAGUGGUGGAAUAUAGGCAAGCGGAGAAUCUGGAUAGUGGGAUAGCACACAGGGUGAUUCUGUUUGCUGGGUCCCACACUUCUUGCAACUUGAUGCAUGUUGCUUACUGCAUACUGCAUGUUGCUUACUGCACACUUAGUUCAAAUUGAAUCAAUAUAUGAUCGCUUGUUCCCAGAUUUAGUCUGGGAAAUUGAAGUCUCCCAUAAAUGCACAAAGUUUUGGAGGGGUGUAGGGGAUGACGAGUUCACUUUGGAGCCCCAGAACGUUUCUGCCACUUACACAGGUUCUUGUCCAUUUUGAGCUGCAUAUUCUUUUCCAGUACUUUGCCCAAUUACAGCAGGUGAAGUGUUUAAAAAUGAGGCUCUUGUCAGACACAGGUGGUGUUUUCCAAGAAAAUUUAGGUAGAUGUACAGACCUUGGAAACAUAAUGUCAUGGCAUUUCUCUUAAAUGUUUAAAUUAUAUUAAUUUUUUUCAGCAUUGAUGUCUUUUGAAUAUAUAUGGGAGUUAAUUUUCUUCAGUGUACAUUAUUCUGAAGAGCUGUUACACUUUGCUUAUAUAGGGUUUCUGGUAAAAUGCACACAUCUUUCGUUACCUGUUUUGUAAGUGUAUGAUGUAAAUGAUCAGUGUAUUUAAUUUGUCUACAUAUGGGUCCAAAGUUUUAUUUUUCUUGCUUAUAAAAUAAACUCUAUGAGUUCUGGGGUAUCUGGCAUCAUGCAGAUAUGCUGUAGAUAUCAAUAGAAUUGUGUUAAUAUUUUUUCCAUCAGUUUUCAAGUGUAAGUGAGAUUUUUGGUGACUGGAUCAUAGGACUGGAAAGGAUUUCAUUUCGGCUGCAGGGCACUUCGCUUGAGUGACAGGAAGAGACAGUUGCACAACAGUGGUUCCAGUGCUGGCAGUGCCAUUGUGGGGCAGGUUUGAAGUGUUCAGAGCUGAGCUGUGUUAAAGCAGCCCCUCACUACAAGAUGUUGCCCACCCCUGUUCUAAGAUACCAGUUACAGUCCACAGCUGCUGCAGGCGCCACAUCGUAUCAUCACUGUCAUAAAACAAUCAAGCUCCCUCUGAAAUCUAGUUAGGAUUUUUUUGCUCCCACUGUCCCAUCUUUUCAGGCAAGAGAAAAAUCCAGCACAGCAAGAUGUAAUUUUACAAAAGGGAAACUACACCAAAAUGAGGAAGCUAGUUUCAAGGAAACAACAAGAUACAGCCAAGAGGGUAAAUGCCUACAGACAACAUAGAAACUGUUUAAAAACACUACAGCAGAGACACAGAAUAAAUGAAUACCACAAAUCAAAAAAAGACAGGAAAUGGCCCCAAAAAACAUUCAGCGUGGUUUAAAGGCAAAGUCAAAGAAGCUAUUAGAGGCAAAAGGCAUCAUUCAAAAAAUGGGAGUCUUGCCCAAAUGAGGAAAAUAGAAAGGAACACAAACUCUGGCAAGCUAAAUGUAAAACCCUAAAAGAACAGGCCACAAAAGAAUUUGAAGAACAUCUCACAAUAGACAUAAAAGCUAAUAGUAUAUAUUUUUAAGGAACAUCAGAAGCAGGAAGCCUGCCAUGCAGUGACGCCAUUGGAUGACCAGGAUGUGAAAAGUUUACUCCACAUGAGCACGCAUGUGCAGUUUGUGGUGCUGCAAACCGCACAUGGUGAACUUGCAACUGUGCAUUGCACUUCAAAUUUGCAGCACAGUGCCAAAACUUGAUACUAGGACAUCCCAAUAUAAAAACCCCCUCCUGUUGUAAAAAGUGGCACGUGACAGCAGCAUGUGCCUCCAGAAAUGGAGCUUGGCCAUCCAGAGCCACAAUCUGGCUGGUGGGCAGGCUCUGUGCGGCUAGAUUGGGACCACUGCUGCCCCAGGAGGCCCCCAGGACCCCAGGCAAGGCUUCUGGAGCCAGCACAGGUGUUGGCCCCAGCCUGCCCUACCCUACCUGGGACAGUUUGGUGCGUGCCAGAGUGUGUGCAGGGGCGUGCCGUGGGGCACAAUGCAGCAGCACAAAUAUGUGCCACUGCUACUUGUGCUGUGGCAAACACAUGCCCCUGCAUGGCGGGGGACAUGCCCCAGGAAGACAAGGCGAUGGUAGAGAGGCUAACUGGAUCUUUUGCAGAGUAUGCCGGGGAGAUUCCCACAUGUGAUCCAUUUUUCUUACACGGUACACUGAAUGAAGUUUUAGAGCAAAUUGUUAAAAAAACAGUAACAAAUUACCAGGACCAGAUGGAUUUCACCCAAGGAUUCAGAAGGAACUCAAAUAUGAAACUGCAGAACUGUUAACAAAAAUACGCAGCCUGUCACUCAAAUGAUGUCAGAGGGCUGGACAAGAGACAAUGUAACACCAUUCUUUAAAAAAGACUCCAGACGUGUUCCAAGAAACUGCAGAUCGUGACUGGAUGACUGAAUCUAAACAGGAGAACACCUAGAGACUUUGGGAGGAUGAUGUUCCAAGCUGAGAAUUUUGCCACAACUUUUGAGACCCCGCCAAGCGUCGAAGUGUAAUUCAAAUCCUGCCUAACUUGCAUUGCAGCCUGAAAUCUGUGGGGUUUCAUGACAAUCUCCAGGCAUCCAUAGAUUUGUGGACCAAGCCUCCUGCCUGCUUUGUGAUGGGACUAUUUGAAAGAAACCACAGGAUUAUAUUUCUUAUGUCUAAGUUUUUCUUGACCCCAUGUUACAACCUUACUUAAGAAAGCUUACUGUAGGUAAUCUAUAUGUUUUCAACAGUAUGCUUUUUUUUUCCUCUGGUAAAAUUGUUAACCAGGAAAGAAAUGUUUAAAUGUAUGCAUUUAAAUUAAGGCUCCAAACUCUCUAUAUUGGGUCCCAUAAAAGUGUCCUGCUGCUCACACUGAAGGCUAAGUAGUUUUAGGAGCUUAACUCCAGGCAUCCAACUUUGAUAAAUGUGUCCAUUUCCCCUACCUACCCUAGCAGUAACUUGGCUAGCAGUAACUCAGAAUUGAUUGCCAGGUAGCAGCUUGCCAGAAUCAUGCUUGGCAGCUGUUUGAA